AACGAACGCUGGCGGCGUGCUUAACACAUGCAAGUCGAGUGCGCGUGCCGUAGCAAUACGGCAUGGCGCACGGCGCACGGGUGCGUAACACGUGGGCAAUCUGCCCUUCGAUGGGGAAUAACUCCGGGAAACCGAAGCUAAUUCCGCAUAACAUUCCUUGGACUUCGGUUCGAGGACUCAAAGCCGUAAGGCGUCGAAGGAGGAGCCCGCGCACGAUUAGCUAGUUGGUAGGGAACGGCCUACCAAGGCUUUGAUCGUUAGCUGGUCUGAGAGGAUGGCCAGCCACACUGGAACUGAGACACGGUCCAGACUCCUACGGGAGCAGCAGUGGGGAAUCUUGCACAAUGGGCGAAAGCCUGAUGCAGCGACGCCGCGUGGGGGAUGAAGCAUUUCGGUGUGUAAACCCCUUUCGACCCGGACGAAUGCCUCGCAAGAGGAGUGACGGUACGGGUA
rnacentral:rRNA from 1 species